rnacentral:rRNA from 1 species
UACCAGCACCCCGAGUGGUCGGGACGAUUAUUGGGCCUAAAGCAUCCGUAGCCGGUCAUGCAAGUCUUCCGUUAAAUCCAGCCGCUCAGCGGUUGGGCUGCGGAGGAUACUACGUGGCUAGGAGGCGGGAGAGGCAAGCGGUACUCAGUGGGUAGGGGUAAAAUCCUUUGAUCCAUUGAAGACCACCAGUGGCGAAGGCGGCUUGCCAGAACGCGCUCGACGGUGAGGGAUGAAAGCUGGGGGAGCAAACCGG